rnacentral:rRNA from 1 species
GAUGAAUGCUGGCGGCGUGCCUAACACAUGCAAGUCGAGCGGUAAGGCCUUUCGGGGUACACGAGCGGCGGACGGCUGAGUAACACGUGGGAAUUUGCCCCAAAGUGAGGGAUAACUGCUCGAAAGGGUAGCUAAUACCGCAUAUGGUCUUCGGAUUAAAGAAUUUAUUCGCUUUGGGAGAAGCCCGCGUUGGAUUAGGUAGUUGGUGAGAUAAAAGCUCACCAAGCCAACGAUCCAUAACUGGUCUGAGAGGAUGAUCAGUCAGACUGGAACUGAGACACGGUCCAGACUCCUACGGGAGGCAGCAGUGAGGAAUAUUCCACAAUGGGGGAAACCCUGAUGGAGACAACGCCGCGUGCAGGAUGAA